rnacentral:lncRNA from 1 species
UAGUGCCCCUUCCUAUAACCCCUUCCUUCUGCAGGGCACUAAACAACAAAUUUCCCUCUUCUCGGAUGUCACUGUUGACCUGUCAUCAAAGCAAAUGACCUCUCCAAUUAGUCUGCACUUGAAGCCACAGGCAUCAUCUCUGUCUGGUGGAGAUACGUUAGAAGACAAGCCAAGAUGCAGCGAUUCAUAGCUGGCUCUGCUAGAUGAGAACAGAAGACAAGAGGGAGUGGAAGAGGGGUCUAUGGAUUUUUGAAAAGCUGGGUGUUAAGACACACGAGGCUACUGAGGAGUGCAGAGAAGGCAUAGCUCAAAGCCAGUAAUCUUAUGUCACUGUACAGCCACUUCCAAAUGAUGCUCAUUGUGGUUACUGUCACCACUGGGACUGCAAGUGGAGAGGAGAGGGACAUGGAGGACUAUGAGCAGCUGCAUUUCCACAGAUGUUCCUCUCUUGCUGGAAAGUAUACUUCAAAAAAAUGUGUGUUGAUUACAUUUAAAGGGGAUACACAGUGAAUGGAUAAUGCAAAACAAGUUUUUUUUUUUAAAUCCAUUAUUCACAUACACACACAGAUGCACACACAUCAUAUAUAUAUAUAUAUAACACCAUCUUCCAUUGGUCCAUAGAUGCAUAGAAGGAGAACACACUGUGCCACAAGUGUUGCCUAGCCUGGGGACACAACUCCAUCUUUACUGGACACAUGGCUCUGAGCACAUGAGUUUUCCUAUUAGCCAUUUCCUUCUGGGCUCACAGCAACCUACCCUCCCUCUUGAGCUAGGGAGGCGAUGCCCUGGGAUGCUGUGUUUCUGUGUCAUGGCGGCGAUGACCUCCUGCUCAGCACAUGGCCCUGGACUUCUGGCAUCUGACCAUUGGUUUCUCAGAGGUGACAAAGUGACAAUCAAUAUGUUGUUCAUGCAAAUUGUAAUUUCUCUUAAAAUAUU